rnacentral:piRNA from 1 species
UCGGCUAACUGGAAGAGGAAUAGAGAAGGC